UACAGGGGGGGCAAGCGUUGUUCGGAAUUACUGGGCGUAAAGGGUCUGUAGGUGGCCAACUAAGUCAGACGUGAAAUCCCUCAGCUUAACUGGGGAACUGCGUCUGAUACUGGAUGGCUUGAGUGCAGGAGAGGAAUGCGGAAUUCCAGGUGUAGCGGUGAAAUGCGUAGAUAUCUGGAGGAACACCGGUGGCGAAGGCGGCAUUCUGGACAGAAACUGACGCUGAGGCACGAAAGCUAGGGGAGCAAACAGG
rnacentral:rRNA from 1 species